rnacentral:sRNA from 1 species
GGCCCUGGACCUGUCUGUCCCGUUGUUCCUGGACCUGUGCGCGCUCCCCCGAUACUCCCCCGAUACAGCGCGGUGCUGACCUGGCGAUAAGUACUAUACAGGUUGAUUACAGAGUACGGAGUACCUGGGCGCAGAUUAUUGCGACGAAUCUAUCCCUCUACCCUGACUCACUCGUCGAGUCGCCGCCGAUCAAUUCUGCAAUGACGAAGUCCGGGCUCCUUCCUGCCUGCCAUCAAACCUUCUUCCACCGUUAUGCGGUUUCUCCACUACUUGAACUAUCUAUUACGAAUUCUGAUAACGCUUAAAUACUUAUAGCAGUACGAAGAAUAUGAAGAAUAUAUCACCUGCUGUACGGCCCCGUCGUUCACCGUCCACAGAAUCCCUUACUUCCUGAUACAGCCAGCAAGGAGCAAGUGGAAUUCUUCAGCGAAAAAUGAACGGAAAAAGAAAAAAAACGCCACUGGCCAAUCGUGUAAAGCAAAUCAGAAAAUCGAAGAGUAAAAAAAUCAAAAAAAAAAAAAAAAAUCAAAAAAUCAAAAAAUCAUAAUGAACAAAGCUCUAAAAGCGCUCUCGAAAACCUGGAACACCCCUUUUCCGGUAUUUGGUUCUCGGAAUCUUGGGACCUUUGGUUUCGGCCUUAUAAUUUUCUGAGCUUGGAAUUUAGAGUUUCUUGUUGCGGGAUUGGUCUAUGGUUAUAGCUAUUCUGGUUCCGGGCGUCGGCCGUCUCAAAAAACAACAGGAGGAAAAAGAGAGAGAGAGUGAGUGAGUGAGUGAAAAAAAAGAUGACUUCCACUCAACUCCCAAGACGACAAGGGAUAAAAGGCAAAAGCAAGUAAUGAAAGCAUAAAUUGUGUGACGAAUUCUGGAUAUCUGCCGUUUUAAGAAUAAUGCUUUUGUUUCGCCCUCGAGUGGCAAAACAAGCUGGCCCGCUGCCAUAACAGGAAAUGGUCGGAAAUCUCAAGAAGCGAAAAAGGGAAGCAAAAAAAGGGAAGGAAAAAGCGAGCAAAGAUCAUAAGAGAGCCUUGCAUUUGCUUGGUUGAGGACGAUGGAAGGUGGCCCCUUUUUACUUCGGAUCUCGAUGGAUAUGACGCCACGCUCCCUGUUCCGCGGUUUGGUACUUUGGAAUAUUCUGAUUGACUCGUGGUAGUGGCCUGCGGAACCAACCACGACAGGCGCCGGAACGUGAGAAGAUAAUUGUCUUUUUGGACCAACUGCGACAAGGCGGAGGGAGCCUCUGGGAGGGGUGGGGA